rnacentral:rRNA from 1 species
GUGCCAGCCGCCGCGGUAAUACGGAGGUUGCAAGCGUUGUUCGGAAUUACUGGGCGUAAAGGGAGCGCAGGCGGUUCAACAAGUCUAAAGUGAAAGCCCGGGGCUUAACCUCGGAAGCGCUUUGGAUACUAUUGAACUUGAGUUCGUGAGAGGAGAGCGGAAUUCCAGGUGUAGCGGUGAAAUGCGUAGAUAUCUGGAGGAACACCGGUGGCGAAAGCGGCUCUCUGGCACGACACUAACGCUGAGGCUCGAAAGCGUGGGGAGCAAACGGGAUUAGAUACCCCGGUAGUCCACGCCGUAAACGUUGUGCACUAGGUGUGGGAGGUAUCGACCCCUUCCGUGCCGAAGCUAACGCAUUAAGUGCACCGCCUGGGGAGUACGGUCGCAAGGCUGAAACUCAAAUGAAUUGACGG